rnacentral:rRNA from 1 species
AUGGCACUACGUUUUGGCAUAUUACUUGCACAAAAGGCGGGAAGCAACCGACUUGUUGUUAACUCUGACAAUUUGGAAGUAAUUGACACAAUGAAGAAUGGAGGACAUACAGCGGGAGCGGCGGCGGCGGCUGUGUUUGAUGAUUGUUAUUUUAUGGCUUGUGAUUUUCCGUUAGUUAGAUUUGAACAUUGUAAUAGGAAGGCAAAUAAAGUAGCUCAUGAAAUUGCUAGAGUAGCUAAAUUUUAUGAGAUAAGGGAUUGGUUUGAGGAGCCUAUGAGUGAUAUUGUAAAUUUUCUUAUAGACGAUGUAACCAUUAUUACUAAUAAAUAA